rnacentral:rRNA from 1 species
UACGAAGGGGGCAAGCGUUGUUCGGAUUUACUGGGCGUAAAGGGCGCGUAGGCGGAUCUUUAAGUCAGAGGUGAAAGCCCUGGGCUCAACCCGGGAAUUGCCUUUGAGACUGGGGGUCUUGAGUAUGGGAGAGGGUGGCGGAAUACCCAGUGUAGAGGUGAAAUUCGUAGAUAUUGGGUAGAACACCAGUGGCGAAGGCGGCCACCUGGCCCAUAACUGACGCUGAGGCGCGAAAGCGUGGGGAGCAAACAGGAUUAGAUACCCCGGUAGU